UAAUAAAUUAUUAUGCGCUAACUUAAACGACCGGGCAUACCUCAGUCUUCUUAGAACUCUCUAGCCGCCCAACAUAACUUAAAUAAAUCUCGAGUUACUCGGGCAUUACUUAUCUUUGUUAUUCAUAAACGACAUGGCACCAAUCUUCUUUGAAUUUUACCAAAGCGCGAACCCCCACUCCGGUGCCAUCCCUGCCUUUGUUGCCAGAGGGUAUAUAAACCCGUGCGCAGCAUCCCCCGUGUCUUAGUUGUUCAUUCAGUCCUUUUUGUCUUAUUCAUUCUCAUUAAAGCUUCUUACUUUGCAUUUUGACUUAUUCACUUCGUUCUUAUUAGUUCGAGUCACAGUACUCUUUGACUUCUAUAUUCAUUUAUUCGACACUCAUUAUUCUCUCUAGAGCGGCUCGCUCCCUCAUACGAGGCUAGUUAGUCAGCUCUCUGGUAAUCGAGCAGUUUUUACAAACGCUCCCGGCAAACCAGGCAAGUUUAAACCACGGUGCAGUGAGUUCCAGUUCCGCCUUCACACCGAGUUCCUACUUCGUGCGCACGAGCCCUGUAAUAGCCGUCCGUAACAUAGCUCGCCUAGGUGCAGAGCCUGCUAUCCUUGUCAGACCCGCUUCGCAGAUAGUUUGCCUCGGAGCAGAGCCUGCUAUCCUUAUCCGCAACGCACAUUUACACGUGGCCGCUCGCCUGGAGGAGCUGAGUUAGCCAUCAUGCCUCAUAAACGACGACGAGGAGUACGUAAAAUUAAAGAAAAGAGAGCUCGUAUUGCCGCUAAACUCAGGAGACUGAGAAUUAUUCCCGACCAGACAGGAACCUUCGUAUCAGACGAGUAUAUACAACAACUGCGCGCCACGACCAUUUUUCACGAAAUACUAGAGAAUAAAGUUAUUGAAGUAAAACCUCCGGCCGAUGACAUAUAUGAUUUAGAGACGGUACUUAAUUCCCCACAGCCGGAGUGCGAUUUUGACUUUUGUUCGUUAAUUGAAGAAGCUCCAGAAAAUAUAAUCCCGGUCGAAGUCCCAG